rnacentral:rRNA from 1 species
UUCCCCUAGUAACUGCGAGUGAAGCGGGAAAAGCUCAAAUUUUAAAUCUGGUGGUCUUUGAUCAUCCGAGUUGUAACCUAGAGAAGCGUUAUCCGCGUUGGACCGUGUAUAAGUCUCCUGGAAUGGAGCGUCAUAGAGGGUGAGAAUCCCGUCUUUGACACGGACUACCAGGGCUUUGUGAUGCGCUCUCGAAGAGUCGAGUUGUUUGGGAAUGCAGCUCUAAAUGGGUGGUAAGUUCCAUCUAAAGCUAAAUAUUGGCGAGAGACCGAUAGCGAACAAGUACCGUGAGGGAAAGAUGAAAAGAACUUUGGAAAGAGAGUUAAACAGUACGUGAAAUUGUUGAAAGGGAAACGCUUGAAGUCAGUCGCAUUGACUUGGGAUCAACCUUGCUUUUGCUUGGUGCACUUCCUAGUUGAUGGGUCAGCAUCAAUUUUGACCAGUGGAAAAAGUUCAAGGGAAUGUGGCAUCUYUGGAUGUGUUAUAGCCUUUGUUCGUAUACAUUGGUUGGGAUUGAGGAACUCAGCACGCCGCAAGGCCGGGUUUUUAACCACGUUCGUGCUUAGGAUGCUGGCAUAAUGGCUUUAAUCGACCCGUCUUGAAACACGGACCAAGGAGUCUAACAUACCUGCGGAGUGUUUGGGUGGAAAACCCGAGCGCGUAAUGAAAGUGAAAGUUGGGGAUCUCUGUCGUGGAGAGCACCGACGCCCGGACCAGACCUUUCUGUGACGGAUCCGCGGUAGAGCAUGUAUGUUGGGGACCCGAAAGAU